rnacentral:rRNA from 1 species
UACAUGUGGGGCAAGCGUUGUUCGGAAUUAUUGGGCGUAAAGAGCUCGUAGGCGGUUUGUCGCGUCUGCCGUGAAAGUCCGGGGCUCAACUCCGGAUCUGCGGUGGGUACGGGCAGACUAGAGUGAUGUAGGGGAGACUGGAAUUCCUGGUGUAGCGGUGAAAUGCGCAGAUAUCAGGAGGAACACCGAUGGCGAAGGCAGGUCUCUGGGCAUUAACUGACGCUGAGGAGCGAAAGCAUGGGGAGCGAACAGG